rnacentral:rRNA from 1 species
AUGAUGACUCCACCUAGUGAGAAAGCUAUUUGGGAGGCUUUUAAGAGGAAGGAUGAUGUGAACUAUGAAGAAGCAAUUGAGAUACAAUCUAAUGGGAAUGAGGUAGUGCCAACAGAAAACCCUGAAAGGGAAGUGACUAGAUUUCUAUUUGUGGAAAUGAAUGAGGAACUGGGGAAAACUGGAGAGGAAAUUAGUACGAUAGAGACAAAAUUCCAUGCAACUAGUGAUGGGACGGAACACAAUGUGGAAGAUGGUGAAGAUGAGGUUUAUCUUCCUGAUGACAUUAUGCCCACUUAUGAGGAGGAGGGGGUUAUGUUUGAUCAUAGGGACAGGAAUACCUCCAAGAAGCAGAAGAUAUGGGGCCCAGUUCAACCUGCAAGGAAGAGCACUAGGGUGAAAGGAAAACUGCCCAUUAUGGAGAAAGCUGAAUUGCUCAAGAUGAAGAAGGAUUUGGAAUUACCAAAAACAUCUGUGAAAGGUCUGGCAGAAAAUAAGUCACUACUUAGGAGAUUGGAUGAAGCCUCACAAUUAACUACGGGAGGGAUAGACAAAACAAUUCAGGGAUCAUCUGCUGGUGAGAUUGAGAUCGCCGCUAGAACUGGAACCGUACUGAGAUGUCAAGAAACUUUGGAGCGGCUUUCCUAG